rnacentral:rRNA from 1 species
CGCUGGCGGCGUGCUUAACACAUGCAAGUCGAACGGUGACGAGGAGCUUGCUCCUCCGAUCAGCGGCGAACGGGUGAGUAACACGUGAGCAACCUGCCCCAGACUCUGGGAUAACAGUUGGAAACAGCUGCUAAUACCGGAUACGAGACGGAGAGGCAUCUCUACCGUCUGGAAAGUUUUUCGGUCUGGGAUGGACUCGCGGCCUAUCAGCUAGUUGGUGAGGUAAUGGCUCACCAAGGCGACGACGGGUAGCCGGCCUGAGAGGGCGACCGGCCACACUGGGACUGAGACACGGCCCAGACUCCUACGGGAGGCAGCAGUGGGGAAUAUUGCACAAUGGGCGAAAGCCUGAUGCAGCGACGCCGCGUGAGGGAUGACGGCCUUCGGGUUGUAAACCUCUUUCAGCAGGGAAGAAGCGCAAGUGACGGUACCUGCAGAAGAAGCACCGGCUAACUACGUG